UUAAGCGACUAAGCGUACACGGUGGAUGCCCUGGCAGUCAGAGGCGAUGAAGGACGUGCUAAUCUGCGAAAAGCGUCGGUAAGGUGAUAUGAACCGUUAUAGCCGGCGAUGUCCGAAUGGGGAAACCCAGUGUGAUUCGUCACACUAUCGUUAACUGAAUACAUAGGUUAACGAGGCGAACCGGGGGAACUGAAACAUCUAAGUACCCCGAGGAAAAGAAAUCAACCGAGAUUCCCCCAGUAGCGGCGAGCGAACGGGGAGCAGCCCAGAGUCUGAAUCAGCUUGUGUGUUAGUGGAACGGUCUGGAAAGUCCGACGGUACAGGGUGAUAGUCCCGUACACCAAAAUGCACAGGCUGUGAACUCGAAGAGUAGGGCGGGACACGUGGUAUCCUGUCUGAAUAUGGGGGGACCAUCCUCCAAGGCUAAAUACUCCUGACUGACCGAUAGUGAACCAGUACCGUGAGGGAAAGGCGAAAAGAACCCCGGCGAGGGGAGUGAAAAAGAACCUGAAACCGUUUACGUACAAGCAGUGGGAGCACCUUUAUGGUGUGACUGCGUACCUUUUGUAUAAUGGGUCAGCGACUUAUAUUCUGUAGCAAGGUUAACCGUAUAGGGGAGCCGCAGGGAAACCGAGUCUUAACUGGGCGUUAAGUUGCAGGGUAUAGACCCGAAACCCGGUGAUCUAGCCAUGGGCAGGUUGAAGGUUGGGUAACACUAACUGGAGGACCGAACCGACUAAUGUUGAAAAAUUAGCGGAUGACUUGUGGCUGGGGGUGAAAGGCCAAUCAAACCGGGAGAUAGCUGGUUCUCCCCGAAAGCUAUUUAGGUAGCGCCUCGUGAACUCAUCUUCGGGGGUAGAGCACUGUUUCGGCUAGGGGGUCAUCCCGACUUACCAACCCGAUGCAAACUACGAAUACCGAAGAAUGUUAUCACGGGAGACACACGGCGGGUGCUAACGUCCGUCGUGAAGAGGGAAACAACCCAGACCGCCAGCUAAGGUCCCAAAGUCAUGGUUAAGUGGGAAACGAUGUGGGAAGGCACAGACAGCCAGGAUGUUGGCUUAGAAGCAGCCAUCAUUUAAAGAAAGCGUAAUAGCUCACUGGUCGAGUCGGCCUGCGCGGAAGAUGUAACGGGGCUAAACCAUGCACCGAAGCUGCGGCAGCGACACUAUGUGUUGUUGGGUAGGGGAGCGUUCUGUAAGCCUGCGAAGGUGGCCUGUGAGGGUUGCUGGAGGUAUCAGAAGUGCGAAUGCUGACAUAAGUAACGAUAAAGCGGGUGAAAAGCCCGCUCGCCGGAAGACCAAGGGUUCCUGUCCAACGUUAAUCGGGGCAGGGUGAGUCGACCCCUAAGGCGAGGCCGAAAGGCGUAGUCGAUGGGAAACAGGUUAAUAUUCCUGUACUUGGUGUUACUGCGAAGGGGGGACGGAGAAGGCUAUGUUAGCCGGGCGACGGUUGUCCCGGUUUAAGCAUGUAGGCUGAUUAUCCAGGCAAAUCCGGAUAAUCAAGGCUGAGGUGUGAUGACGAGGCACUACGGUGCUGAAGUAACAAAUGCCCUGCUUCCAGGAAAAGCCUCUAAGCAUCAGGUAACAUCAAAUCGUACCCCAAACCGACACAGGUGGUCAGGUAGAGAAUACCAAGGCGCUUGAGAGAACUCGGGUGAAGGAACUAGGCAAAAUGGUGCCGUAACUUCGGGAGAAGGCACGCUGGUGUGUAGGUGAAGUCCCUGCGGAUGGAGCUGAGACCAGUCGAAGAUACCAGCUGGCUGCAACUGUUUAUUAAAAACACAGCACUGUGCAAACACGAAAGUGGACGUAUACGGUGUGACGCCUGCCCGGUGCCGGAAGGUUAAUUGAUGGGGUUAUCCGUAAGGAGAAGCUCUUGAUCGAAGCCCCGGUAAACGGCGGCCGUAACUAUAACGGUCCUAAGGUAGCGAAAUUCCUUGUCGGGU
rnacentral:rRNA from 1 species